UCCAGGACCUCAGAAGGCAUAAGGUGACCCCGGUAAGAAAUGUGGCUCUGCGGUACCACAGGCCAGACAAUACACUUGAAGAUGUAAUGUUUGUUCUCCUGAAAACAAGUACGAGAAAGCGUGUACAGCACCAGAGACCUGAAGGAAAAUGGACAGACUUCUCCCUUCGGAAUGUGACAGGCAAUGACACUGGAAACUACAGCUGUAUCUGCUACCAGACAAAGGCUCCUUGGCCUCACAUCCCAGUAACCGCCUCGAAAACUUCGUAACAGGCCCUACAGCUGCCCAGGGGAAAGAUGGGUGUUGAUCGAGUUAUAUCCACUGAACCUGAACAGUUUCAGGGGAACGUGCAUUCUCACCUCUGCUGAGAGCCACUCCAGGACAAGAUGAUGGUUUCCUCUUCUGUACUCCUCACCUGGGGCAGAGGACAGGCCUGGGCAUAAAGAUUAAGCCAACAGAAUAUUAAUUUAUGCAACACAGAACAUCUUUUCCCUACUGUAGGCUCCAGGCCCAGCAUGGAACCCAGUGUGGGGUUUGAACUCAUGACCCUGAGAUCAAGACCUGAGCUGCAAUCAAGAGUCAGACACUUAACCGACUGAGCCACCUAGGCACUCCAACUCCGUCCAUUUUUAAAUUGGGUUGUUAAUCUUCUUGAUAUUGAGCUGUAGGUAUAUAAUCUGGGCACAAGUCCAUUAUUAAUAGACUGUAUUGCAAAUAUUUACCUCAGUCUGUUACUCCUCUCUGCACUUUUUAUUUAUUUGCCAGAGACACAGCAAGAGCGAGCGAGCGAGAGCGCACACGAGCACACAAGCAGGGGGAGCGGCAGGCAGAGGGAGAAGCAGGCUCCCUGGUGAGCAAGGAGCCC